rnacentral:misc_RNA from 1 species
UGGUUAUGAUGCUAAUACUGUUAUAAAAGCUACAUCCAUGACUAAUAUUGCAGGGGGUACUGAUACCACAACUGUUACGGUAACAUGGGGACUGGCGCUAUUGUUAAACCAUCCCAUUGCACUGAGGAAGGCCCAAGAAGAAUUGGACAUUCAAGUUGGCAGAGAAAGAUUUGUGAAUGAAUCAGACAUAGAUAAACUGGUAUAUCUCCAGGCAAUAGUAAAGGAGACGAUGAGGCUAUACCCUGCUGGUCCACUAUCAGGACCUCGGGAAUUCUCCGAGGAUUGUACCAUCGGUGGUUUCCAUGUCCCAGCAGGUACCCGCCUAAUGGUUAACAUUUACAAGAUCCAUAGGGAUCCGCGGGUGUGGUCAAAUCCAAUGCAAUUUGAACCAGAGAGAUUUCUGAACACACACAAGGAAAUUGAUGUGAAAGGUCAGAAUUUUGAGCUCAUUCCAUUUGGUGCCGGUAGGAGGGCAUGCCCUGGGAUAAAUUUUGGCAUUCUGAUGACUCAAUUAGCUCUGGCAAGUUUCCUUCAAGCAUUUGAGAUGUCAACCCCAUCAAAUACACCAGUUGACAUGACUGAGACUGCUGGAUUAACAAAUAGCAAAGCCACCCCUCUUGAAGUUCUGGUGAAACCUCGCUUGCCUGCUUGUCUCUAUGAUUAGAGAUGAAGGUAUUUGCCAUGAUAUGUUAUUGAAACAUUAGUUUU